rnacentral:rRNA from 1 species
UACAGAGGUCCCAAGCGUUGUUCGGAUUCACUGGGCGUAAAGGGUGCGUAGGUGGUGAGGUAAGUCGGAUGUGAAAUCUCCGAGCUCAACUCGGAAAUGGCAUUGGAAACUACCUUGCUCGAGGGUUGGAGGGGGGACUGGAAUGCUUGGUGUAGCAGUGAAAUGCGUAGAUAUGCGGAGGAACACCGAUGGCGAAGGCAAUCCCCUGGGCCUGCACUGACGCUCAUGCACGAAAGCGUGGGGAGCAAACAGG